rnacentral:rRNA from 1 species
GGACUACUCGGGUAUCUAAUCCUGUUUGCUCCCCACGCUUUCGCGCCUCAGCGUCAGUUACGGUCCAGAGAGCCGCCUUCGCCACCGGUGUUCUUCCCAAUAUCUACGAAUUUCACCUCUACACUGGGAAUUCCACUCUCCUCUCCCGCACUCCAGCAAACGAGUAUCAAAUGCACCUCCCAGGUUGAGCCCGGGGCUUUCACAUCUGACUUCAUCUGCCGCCUGCGCGCCCUUUACGCCCAGUAAUUCCGAACAACGCUCGCCCCCUUCGUAUUACCGCGGCUGCUGGCAC